UACAGAGGGUGCAAGCGUUAAUCGGAAUUACUGGGCGUAAAGGGAGCGUAGGUGGCUCGAUAAGUCAGAUGUGAAAUCCCCGGGCUCAACCUGGGAACUGCAUCUGAUACUGUUGAGCUAGAGUAUGUGAGAGGAAGGUAGAAUUCCAGGUGUAGCGGUGAAAUGCGUAGAGAUCUGGAGGAAUACCGAUGGCGAAGGCAGCCUUCUGGCAUAAUACUGACACUGAGGCUCGAAAGCGUGGGUAGCAAACAGG
rnacentral:ncRNA from 2 species